rnacentral:lncRNA from 1 species
ACUCAGGUAAUUUAUUUUUUCCAUUCAGUAGCCAGGAAGUGUCCCCUGCACAUCCUGGGAUGAGCCACGACACCCCCUAACCUCAGAGUUCAUCAUUCCUAUGUUGGGGUGCUUAACCCUAGGGAGAGGGAGAAGGUCACAUUUCUCUAUUUGUUCCUCAAAGACACUGCAGGGUCUUUGUGGGAUGACGUGUCUGCUCAGAGUCUUGUUUUGUGGGUUUAUAGGACAACCUACCGCUCACGGACCACAGGUCCAAGCGUAGCGCACGGUUCAGGCCUCCACACCUGGUUGUCCCUGUUGCUGUCCAUCAGAGGGCACUGCAGGGCACCUGGACCUUCCAGCUUCCUGGUGAUGACCAGACCAAGCUACUUCUCUGAGUGGUGGCUUGUGUUUUCAAUAUGGGGUCGACUCUACAGUAUGCCUGGCGAGGGACGAGAAGGCCUACAGACCACACACAUCCCAGCUUAGCUCUCCCCAGGCCCCCACCUCUGAUCUCUGGAGAACCCGGGACACAGGUUGACCCCUAGAUCUUCCUCAUGGGACUUGGAGGUAUGGUGGACUCAACUGUAUCCCUUACCUUAAUCCAAAAUU